CUAGUUAAUAACACUAGUAUAAGUAGUAUAUCUAACACAAAUUCCCAAAUUGAAACCCCUUUCAAUUUGGGAAUUUGUGUUAAAUAUACUAAAGAAUACUUAAUGGAAAGUCCCCCGACUUUCCAUUUUAACAUUUUCGCUCCCGUAGCGUCUUCAGUCGAAAUAUUGUAGGUAAUGUAAUGUAAUGUAAUGUAAUGUUGUUAUCUAUAAUGUCACUUAUAUGUCAUUUUAUGCCUAGGGCUUAUCAAUUAUCAUACAGAUUCGAGUAAAAUCGUGAGUGAGCCGUACUGGAAAUGAUAAUAAAAUCACACGGAAUAGACAUCAAAAUUGUAUGUAGGUAUGUUCGUUUACAUACAAACAGUCAAAGUAUAUGAGCACGAACAAAAUUCCUAAUAAAUACAUAUAAUACCUAAACAUGCAAAGUGUGUCCAAAAAUGUUGUGUUGACUAUACAGUAGAGCUAAGAUAGAAUGGACAGGAAUGGCGUUUAUCCAAUGUUUAUCAUUUGUCACCAUACUGGUGCUGUAGCCGAAUGGCAUUUCUGCGACGCGAAACGAAAACGAAACGCCGCCAAAAGGUAGUCUGGCUCUGUCGCGCCAAUACGCAAGAGCGAUAGAGAUAGAUAUCUACGAGCGUUUCGUUUCGUGAGCGUUUGUAGUACCUAAGUAGGUAGUGAUAAGUGAUGUUAUUAUGUUAGGUACCAUGAUAUCACUGCCGGUUGAUAGGCUAUUUUGACUGCAUUAAAAAUAAAUUAUGUAUUUCAAAUCAAGCGUGAAAUAAAUUACCAGAAAAAUAUUAGAAAAAUGUUGGCAGAAGUUAGUUUUAG